rnacentral:tRNA from 1 species
GGGCCCUUAGCUCAGCUGGGAGAGCGCUUCGCUGGCAGCGAAGAGGUCACCGGUUCGAUCCCGGUAGGGUCCA